AACUUUAAGAAAUUAAUUUAAAGCUACGCCUGCUCCAUGAUAUAAAUAGCCGCAGAUCAACUGUGCUAAGGUAGCAUAAUCAUUAGCCCCUUAAUUAGGGGAUAGAAUGAACGGCCACACGAAUUGUUUCCUGUCUCAGAUAUCCCCAAUUAACCUAAUCUAAAAGUUAAAAAGCUUUUAUCCAUAAAUAAGACGACAAGACCCUAUCAAACUUCUCACCUGUAGUUAAACUGGGGCGGUUCAAUAAUUAUACCUUAUCAAAUCAAUACUCACACAACCGACAUAAUCGAUUAUGAAUCAAGUUACUGUAGGGAUAACAGCGCAAUAUUUUUCCAGAGACCUUAUCUAAAAAAAAUCUUACGACCUCGAUGUUGAAUUAAUCCCUCCCCCACGCAAGAGUCCAAGAG
rnacentral:rRNA from 1 species